GCCCAACAUCCACAAUUCCAUUCUUGUUUUAAUUCACAGCGUCUGCUCUUGCAGCGUCAUCCUCUUGGCGGGUAUUCUUCCUACCCGAGACCUUGUCUUCGCCUACGUCCUGGUCCGGGGUUCUGGCCCUGCUACUGCUACGAGUAGUCAGUCGUCUCCGUCUCCGGAGGCAACAUUGUCUCAGAAUGUCGCAUCCUUGUAUGUUGGGAUGCUGCUUACUCACUCACUGACUCAGAGAAGACACUCACACGUGUGUGCGAGAGAUGCUAUGAGAUGUGAUGUGAGUUCGGAGGCCUGGAAAACUCUGGGAAGCUCUUGCUGCACUCUUGUUGUUUGGUUGUAAGUGACAUUUGCAAUUUUCAAAACUAUUGAAUGAGUGACAAGUUCUGCAGACACGAUUGAAACUGACAGUUAACUCGAG
rnacentral:lncRNA from 1 species